rnacentral:lncRNA from 1 species
GACAAGGGCAGGGUGACCAGUCCAGGCUGGCCUCAAAGAGCCUCCAGAUGCUCAGAGUCUUGCAGGCUCAGAACAAGAAUUGUCAACUUGCCAAGAUGAAUCUGUCUCUCGGGGGAGGACCCACACAGAACAAACGUUUGAAGCAGAAGUUUGCUUGGUAAACAUGGAAUCGGAACAUGGGAAUUGGGCCACUGGGAUAUUCAAUUGCGUCAGACCAUUGUAGCUGAUACUCCUGGACAGAGGGGCUUUGCCAACUGGACAGAUAUAUGAAGUGUUGCUGACCGAGCUCCUUGCUCUGUGUGGGAGGGAUCUUGCCAGCUCCAGCCUUGGUGGGUCUCCUUUUUCUGUUUCCAAGCUUAAAUAAGCACUUGGCUGUUCUGAUUAGCACUUUUAAAAGCUGUGUUAAUAAGUUCAAUUAAAAUAGAAGAAUCUCUCAUUCUGUCAUAUCGGGUUUUUUUAAUUGCAAACCAAUAAAACUUAAAUGAACUUGAGCAAAA